GGGCGGAUGGUUUAGUGGUAUAAUACUCCCUUAGCAUGGUGUCUGGGAGUGGUCCGGGGUUCGAUUCCCCGUCUGUCCA